GAGUCAGCCAGGCAUUUCAGCAGCUGAUUACGAGAGACGAAGAGGCAGGGUGUUCGGCACAAAUAAAGCCCCGGACACCCCAGGUCUGUGCGUGUUGCUCCCACUCCUACAUCAGCCUGUGUUGCUCCUGAGAGCUGCUGAUCUCCCCACGGUCUCUUCUUUUUUCUCUGGUGCACCCAUGUUCUCAUGAGGCUAAGAUUUAAAUGCUGAACUUUUCGGUGAGAAAAAAAAUCCAGCUGGAGCCAGGGUUGCAAAAGAUCCCUACUAAGCAAACAUAAGAAUUGGGCAUAAUACAUAUCCCCUGAGACUCUGUUAAUCUUCCCUUCUGUCUGAUACAACCUCGAAUUUUACUAUUGCUAAUUCACCCUACCACCUGUGAAGGUCCAGCUAAACAGGUGCCCAGAACAGACUGCAAGGCUUAGGAAGCUCUGAUUACGAGCACAUUAAAUUCUGGAAUCCAGUUGGGAUCUCUUACUAUGAGAUGAAAUGACUUUCAAACAUUGCUACUGGUCCUAAAAUUGGUGUGAUAUCCAACUUCCUGCUUUCCAGGAAAGGACAUGGAUAUGAGGUGUGCACAAGAACUGGAGUGCAGGCCAGAGGUUGAAGGCGUCA